rnacentral:rRNA from 1 species
GAAACUCGCCUGCAUGAAGUCGGAAUUGCUAGUAAUCGCGGAUCAGAAUGCCGCGGUGAAUACGUUCCCGGGUCUUGUACACACCGCCCGUCACACCAUGGGAGUCAGAAAUGCCCGAAGUCUGUGACCCAACCUUAGGGAGGGAGCAGCCGAAGGCAGGUCGGAUGACUGGGGUGAAGUCGUAACAAGGUAAC